AAGCCACAAACAGAAAAAAGGUUCCGUCCCUACUAAUCUCGUCCUGCCACCACCCUGAUUCCCCACCAUCCCGAUCCGGCGCGCCUCCACCCACCGCCGCCGGUCAACGGCGCGCCACCCUCCCCAAGCCACCGGCGCCAGGCCUCCACCCACCGCUGCUGGCCGUAGCCCCCCUCCCCCCCUCAAGCCCCUACCGUCGGCGGGGCCUCCCCCCAACCCCCACGCGCGACGUCCUCCUGAGCUACCAGAUUCACCGUCGUGGUCCGCCUCAACCUCCCACCGGCCUCCUCCCGUGCCGCCGCUGCUAGCCUCCUGCCGCCGGCCUCCUCCCACGCAACCGCCGGCCUCGUCCCAUGACGCCGGCCUCCUCCCGCGACGCUGCCGCCGGCCUCUCAGUCACGCGAGCCGUCGCCUCCAGGACCGGGAUGCAGGCCUAGGUCUCCGGCGAAGCCGCCGUCCAGGGGCUCGACGCCAUCGGCAGGGUCAGACGCCUUGGUCUCGUGACCUCCACGCUAUCAUCGUCCUCACCACAAGCCACCACGGGCGCUGUCGCCCCGGCCCUGCACUCCACCACCGCACCCUGCCUUCUUCCCGCUGCAGCUGCUCCACAUUGCAUCCGCCCGACGUCGCGGCACCCCAACCCGUCUGCUUUCCCCAACCCCUGAACCUUCGUCUACUGGUUAACCUUCUCGCAAAGGCCACCUCGACCUUCUCGAGGAAGGUUGCUUCCAGGGAUCCAGCUCGCAGGGUGCACGCAAUCUCGUCCUAGCUUGUUGCUGUUGGGUGACCAUCCGCCGGCCUGAAGACGCAAGAGUCGACGCCUUGAUUUUGAUGGAUAAGCAAGAGCAAACAGAGAUACAGAGCAUGUGUGGAACAUGGACUGCUCGCACGCGCCACCACGGACUGCUCCGCUGCCAUCCCCGUCGUCCUGUGUCCACGGGGCUCCUUGACCCAUCGAGGGCGACAACUGCACACAACCCCCGGGUCCUCAAUUCCGACGGCCGUGCAGGCAGCCAUCUCGCCUAGAGGCCGACACCACGCUGGCUGCUUGCGAAUGGAUGGUGCGUGAGGAUAUUCAUUUGCUUCAGUGACUCGUAUGCUUCCGUGUCUACAUUCAUUUUGAGUUUUCUCCGUCUCUGGUUCAUGCGAACAUCAUAUAUUUGAUGCUAAAAUGUGUCUAAUGCAGACCACUAAAAAAGGCAAUUUACUCAGUUAUAAAAAGUAGUGUUUGUUCUAUGAUAGUUAACUAACCAAAAUAAGAGAUGCACAAUUCACUCUAAAAAAUGACCAUUCAUUUCACAGAUGAGCAUCUGUUCAUUACAAAAAAGAGAAUUAAAAUUUUGCAA